rnacentral:antisense_RNA from 1 species
UCAGUGGGCGGCCUUGGUGGGGAGGGCUUCGGCCCUGCCGGUAAGGGAUUGCCGGUCUGCUAACCCUGCCUUGCGCCGCCCCACCC